rnacentral:rRNA from 1 species
UAAUACGAGGGGUGCAAACGUUAUUCGGAAUAACUGGGCGUAAAGGGUGCGUAGACGGCGCAUUAAGUUUGCUGUUAAAUUCUUCAGCCUAACUGAAGAUCAGCGGUGAAAACUGGUGUGCUAGAGGUUGGAAGAGAGAAGUGGAAUUCUCGGAGUAGCGGUAAAAUGCGUAGAUCUCGAGAGGAACACCGAUGGCGAAAGCAGCUUCUUGGUCCAAUCCUGACGUUGAGGCACGAAAGCGUGGGGAGCAAACAGGAUUAGAUACCCUGGUAGUCCACGCCGUAAACGAUAAUCACUAGACGUCAGUCUGGCUCUGCUGGAUUGGUGUCGAAGCUAACGCGUUAAGUGAUUCGCCUGGGGAGUACGGUCGCAAGAUUA